rnacentral:rRNA from 1 species
UGGGGAAUUUUGGACAAUGGGCGAAAGCCUGAUCCAGCAAUGCCGCGUGUGUGAAGAAGGCCUUCGGGUUGUAAAGCACUUUUGUCCGGAAAGAAAUCCUUGGCUCUAAUACAGUCGGGGGAUGACGGUACCGGAAGAAUAAGCACCGGCUAACUACGUGCCAGCAGCCGCGGUAAUACGUAGGGUGCAAGCGUUAAUCGGAAUUACUGGGCGUAAAGCGUGCGCAGGCGGUUUGCUAAGACCGAUGUGAAAUCCCCGGGCUCAACCUGGGAACUGCAUUGGUGACUGGCAGGCUAGAGUGUGGCAGAGGGGGGUAGAAUUCCACGUGUAGCAGUGAAAUGCGUAGAGAUGUGGAGGAAUACCGAUGGCGAAGGCAGCCCCCUGGGCCAAUACUGACGCUCAUGCACGAAAGCGUGGGGAGCAAACAGGAUUAGAUACCCUGGUAGUCCACGCCCUAAACGAUGUCAACUAGUUGUUGGGGAUUCAUUUCCUUAGUAACGUAGCUAACGCGUGAAGUUGACCGCCUGGGGAGUACGGUCGCAAGAUUAAAACUCAAAGGAAUUGACGGGGUCAUAGCUGUUUCCU